GACGAACGCUGGCUGCGUGCUUAACACAUGCAAGUCGAACGCUGAAGCUCACAGCUUGCUGUGGGUGGAUGAGUGGCGAACGGGUGAGUAACACGUGAGUAACCUGCCCCCGAUUUCGGGAUAAGCCCGGGAAACUGGGUCUAAUACCGGAUAUGACCACCGGCCGCAUGGUUGGUGGUGGAAAGUUUUUCGAUCGGGGAUGGGCUCGCGGCCUAUCAGCUUGUUGGUGGGGUAAUGGCCUACCAAGGCGACGACGGGUAGCCGGCCUGAGAGGGGGACCGGCCACCCUGGGGCUGAGACACGGCCCAGACUCCUACGGGGGGCAGCAGUGGGGAAUAUUGCACAAUGGGGGAAACCCUGAUGCAGCGACGCAGCGUGCGGGAUGACGGCCUUCGGGUUGUAAACCGCUUUCAGCAGGGAAGAAGCGUAAGUGACGGUACCUGCAGAAGAAGUACCGGCUAACCACGUGCCAGCCGCCGCAGUAA
rnacentral:rRNA from 1 species